rnacentral:lncRNA from 1 species
CUUUUAUUUCACCAUUGUGGGUAGGAUCUAGUAGUAAAUAUCUGGAGGCACUAAGCAAUCAGUGCUCCUUUUCUUUGUGGAACCUAUGGUCUAAGAUGCACAAAUCAGGGCUGUGGAUGUAGCUCAGUGGUAGACCACUUGCCUAGCAUCCUCAAGGACCUGGGUUUGAUCCACAGACCCACAAAAGAAAAAGAAAAAAGCUUUAAGAUGAACAGGUUCACCUAAACAUGUAAAAUAAAAGAUAUAAAGAAAGGACACAUUUGAUAUGAUCUUAAGAGCUCAGGUUUUGUGGUCUGACUGGAUUUGGAAGGGAAAUUCAUGUAUCGUUAAUUGCCAUCCCCUUUUAGGUUUUCAUGCUGUGCCAGGCCCUACCCUAGGUGGAGGUUAGUGCAUUUCAUACAGGCCAGCUAUGUGUCACCACGUUGCUGGACGUGGAGAUGAGCAAGACCAGCCUCUGCAUAAGGGACCUUGAUCUCCCAGGGAGAUGGAUGGUGAUAAAUGAGACGGCACUGGCAGUGCUUAGGUAUCUGUCUGAGGUACCUUCUUGUUGCUGGUACAAAAUGCCUGACACCCACAAGAUCGCAACGAACGAAAUAAACCAGAGCAUCGUUCUUCCAGCCAAGGACCCUUGUCAUCUAUUAGAGCUGUAA